GAUGAACGCUAGCGGGAGGCCUAACACAUGCCAGCCGAGCGGUAGAGUUUCUUCGGCGACUUGAGAGCGGCGCACGGGUGCGUAACACGUGUGCAACCUACCUUUAUCUGGGGGAUAGCCUUUCGAAAGGAAGAUUAAUACCCCAUAAUAUAAUGAUUGGCAUCAAUUAUUAUUGAAAACUCCGGUGGAUAGAUAUGGGCAGGCGCAAGAUUAGAUAGUUGGUGAGGUAAGGGCUCACCAAGCCAAUGAUCUUUAGGGGUCCUGAGAGGGCGAGCCCCCAAGCUGGUACUGAGACACGGACAAGAAGCCUACGGGCAGAAGCAGACAGGAAGAAUGGACGAGGGAUGAGAGACUGAUCCAGCCAUCCCGCGUGAAGGAUGACGGUCCUAUGGAUUGUAAACUUCUUUUGUACAGGGAUAAACCUACCCUCGUGAGGGUAGCUGAAGGUACUGUAAGAAUAAGCACCGGCUACCUCCGU
rnacentral:rRNA from 1 species